AUUGAACGCUGGCGGCAGGCCUAACACAUGCAAGUCGAACGGUAGCACAGAGAGCUUGCUCUCGGGUGACGAGUGGCGGACGGGUGAGUAACGUCUGGGAAACUGCCCAAUGGAGGGGGAUAACUACUGGAAACGGUAGCUAAUACCGCAUAACGUCGCAAGACCAAAGUGGGGGACCUUCGGGCCUCACACCAUCGGAUGUGCCCAGAUGGGAUUAGCUAGUAGGUGGGGUAAUGGCUCACCUAGGCGACGAUCCCUAGCUGGUCUGAGAGGAUGACCAGCCACACUGGAACUGAGACACGGUCCAGACUCCUACGGGAGGCAGCAGUGGGGAAUAUUGCACAAUGGGCGCAAGCCUGAUGCAGCCAUGCCGCGUGUAUGAAGAAGGCCUUCGGGUUGUAAAGUACUUUCAGCGGGGAGGAAGGCGGUGGAGUUAAUAACUUCACCGAUUGACGUUACCCGCAGAAGAAGCACCGGCUAAUUCCGUGCCAGCCGCCGCGGUAA
rnacentral:rRNA from 1 species